rnacentral:tRNA from 2 species
GCGUCUAUGGUGUAGCGGACAGCACAUCGAUCUUCUAAAUCGAGAGCCCUGGUUCGAAUCCAGGUAGACGCGCCA